CACGAGCAACCCAUUCAGGAGCAUUCUCAUCAGCUUGCCGAGGCAGAGGUGUCUUCUCAUGAGACUACCGAGGCGCAUCAUCUCGUCCAGGAGACUACCUCAUAUUCACCACCACACCCAUCUCAGGAGCCUACAGACCCAUCUCAGGAGCCUACUCAGGCGCCCGUUGACACACAGGUUUGAUUAAAUAAAUAACGUUAAUGUAUUCAAUAUAAAUAAGAAAUGGUACUAAUUAUUAUAUACUUUUCAGGUUCAUCCUUCAGCGCCUGAGGUGGCGAUUCGCAACGAGGAAGAGGUCAAGUUUCCAGACCUAGCUCAGCCUGAGGUUCUGAGCGUGCCAGCGGGACUAGGUCCCAAGAAGAAGCACGAUCUAGUUAAGGGCGCAAGGGCUAGGGGAAGAGGAAAUGAUCAUGACUUGGAGCGCCCGGUUAUUAAGAGGAAAAAGGGCGAUGGAGACAAUGGCGAGGGCGGUGGGGAUAGUAUGAGCCUUAGGCCUAGGGAUAGUCUCCGGCAUACUACAUAUGGGACCUAUCCUCGAUAGUGUAUAUACAUUAGUGUUGUACAAUUUAUCGUAAAUAUUAUAUAUUUUUUGCAUAUUUAUACAUAUUAUCUUAGUCUUUAUUAUUGUU